GGCUGGAUGGAGGCACAGAGAAGGUUUCCGGGGGGCAGAGUGGGGUUGAGGCAGAGUGAGGUUGAGGCAGGGUGGAGUUGAGGCAGGGUUGAGGCAGAGAUUUGUGUGGGCUGUUUGAUACCCGAGGCUGGGGGUGGACUGGAGGGAGAUUGGAGGCUGGGUGGAGUCAUGAUGAGGGAACUUGGGCUGGACUAGAAGCAAGUGAGGGAGUCCAAGGCUUGGGGUCAGGUUGAACUUGAGGCAAGUUGAGGGGUUCAGGACUGGAGGCCGGGGGAAGGUGUCCGGAGCUGGGGUGGACUGGAGGCAGGGGGAAGGUGUCCGGAGCUGGGGUGGACUGGAGGCAGGGGGAAGGUGUCCGGAGCUGGGGUGGACUGGAGGCAGGGGGAAGGUGUCCGGAGCUGGGGUGGACUGGAGGCAGGGGGAAGGUGUCCGGAGCUGGGGUGGACUGGAGGCCGGGGGAAGGUGUCCGGAGCUGGGGUGGACUGGAGGCAGGGGGAAGGUGUCCGGAGCUGGGGUGGACUGGAGGCAGGGGGAAGGUGUCCGGAGCUGGGGUGGACUGGAGGCAGGGGGAAGGUGUCCGGAGCUGGGGUGGACUGGAGGCAGGGGGAAGGUCAAGAGAUCUGGUGCCUGGGCUGGGGGGGUCAAGGCGCUCACAAGCCCUGCUUGGCCAGGGCGGCGGUGACGUCUUCAGCUAGAGUGGCUAGCUGUGGAGACUCCAGCAAGUUGAUGCUGCCAGAGGAGGACAGGUGGCUGUCGCGGUGGGGGGACACAGUCCCUGACAUGCCCAUUUCCGGAGACUGGGUCACAAUGAUCUCCGCCCCGUGGUCCACCCGGGCCUUGGCCAUAUCACGGAACAACAGCUUGUGGCUUUCGA